rnacentral:rRNA from 1 species
GCAGCAGUGGGGAAUAUUGCACAAUGGGCGCAAGCCUGAUGCAGCCCUGCCGCGUGUGUGAAGAAGGCCUUCGGGUUGUAAAGCACUUUCAGCGAGGAGGAAGGGGUGAACUUAAUACGUUCACAAUUGACGUUACUCGCAGAAGAAGCCCGGCUAAUCCUGCCGCGCCGCGGUAAUACGGAGGGUGCAAGCGUUAAUCGGAAUUACUGGGCGUAAAGGCACGCAGGCGGUUUGUUAAGUCAGAUGUGAAAUCCCCGGGCUCAACCGGGAACUGCAUUUGAAACUGGCAAGCUAGAGUUCGUAGAGGGGGGUAGAAUUCCAGGUGUAGCGGUGAAAUGCGUAGAGAUCUGGAGAAUACCGGUGGCGAAGGCGGCCCCCUGGACGA